rnacentral:rRNA from 1 species
CGAGACCCCAGGUCAGUCGGGAUUACCCGCUGAAUUUAAGCAUAUCAAUAAGCG